UAAUGUUAACUGUCAAAGGCAGCGGCCACAAAAUGACAGAAGGUAAAUGAAAAGGAAGCCAUAGUCGCAUUUUGCAUUUCCCCUGUAUGUUUUUCCUCCAUCCACUGAACCCUAUCCACACACCGGUGACCAUACCACAGCGAGUGACCUGAACCAGCAGCCAUCGGCAGCGAAGGCGAGAGCUCUCUGGUGGUACAUUUCUGGCCUCUUCUUCUUCUUCUUCUUAAGGGGAUUCUUGUGUCAACAGAAACCACCCACUUUGGACAACCAUCGGCGACCAUACCACAGAGAGUGACCCGAACCAGAGGCAACCACCGGAAUGAAACCACCCACCUGGACAACCACUGGCGGG